CUGCGGGCUGCAGAGCAUCAGAGAAGCUGUGUUGCAAACGUCACAGAGCCCUAUGGCCUUCAGCAUGGGACUACUCACUGCCUACUAACUGUCACUCAAAAGAAAAUUUCAACAGCCACAGAAAACAUCAAUUUUGUACUGAGACCUCGUAAAGAAGCUAAGAUUGUUUUUUGCAUCCAGUGUACUUGCAGCGUGUAAAUUACAAUUACACUUGUAUACAUUGUGCACAUUCCACCCCCAUGUAGCCAUCAUUUAAAAAGAGAAAGAGAAAAAACCAGGAUGCUGACAUUCUCUGCAUAUAAGAAAAUAAUGCCAGAGGGGCUGGGGAUUUAGCUCAGCGGCAAAGCGCCUGCCUGGCAAGCACAAGGUCGUGAGUUCGGUUCCCGGUACCGGAGAAAAAACCAAAAAACCAAAAAAAAAAAAAAAAAAAAAAAAAAAAAAAAAAGAAAAUAAUGCCAGAAGAGUGAGAAGGAGAAGCAGGAGAGAGAGAAAGGUUGGAUAGUGGGUCCCCAGACAGCACAAAAAGGUGACUGUAUGACAGUUUAUUAUAUACUCUAUAUUUCACAAAGAACUAGAAGUGGAGAGUUUGAAGGUUCCUAGCAUAAAGAAAUGAUAAAUGUUUAAGGAUAUGGAGGAGCUAAUUGUCUUCUUUCAAUCAU
rnacentral:lncRNA from 1 species